rnacentral:lncRNA from 1 species
AUGGGGGCCGCCGGGCGGAGGAGUAGCCCUGGGCGCAGGCCCCAGGAAGCCCCUUCCCUGCACCCGUCCUCUCGCAAACGGCGCCUGGAGCGGCCUGGCUGCAGCCCUGGCUGUUUUAAGUCCUGCAGCAAACUAAUGGCAACAGGGGCGCAGCCCCGGACUCCAGUCCCGGCCGCCGAGCUCCCUCCCUGCAGCGCCACCCGCACCCCGGCGCCCAGCGCGGCCGGCCCAACUCGGCCCGCCACAUCCCCGCCUGCGUGGCCAAGCCCGGGCCCCAGAACGUUCCCGAACCCCACGUCGGCGCUCCGGCGGCGGAGGGGGCGCCGAGCCCGCAGCUCACCUGCGCGCUGGAUCCUAGGGCCGUUCGGAGAGGCGCGGGGCGUGGGGCGCAGGCGAGCGCGGCCCGCAGACUCAAACUUUGUUGCUCUUGGGACGGCGCAGUCGUCACUUCCUCGCGGAGCGGGCGGCGCGGCCCGGGCUGUGACCCAGCAGCUCGCGCGGUGGCGCGCCGGGCCCUGCAGCCGCCCGCCCGCCCGCUCGCCCGCGCCCCCGGCUCCGCGCGCCCUCGGCGGGGGACACGGGCAGCCGGCCGCUGAGCCUGCACCCCUCUGGGGAAGGCACGCUGCAGGCGGGUCGUUUCCGCGCCGAAGAAGGGCGGUCGAGCCUGUUCUCAGGCUGGAUCGGGAAAAAGUGGCGUUGGGGUUCAGGCCCCGGGAAGCACGCGGGGGAGGGAGGUGGUUCAGACACCCCGGAGAACUGGGGAUCCAGGAGAAAGACACCCAGCGCACAAAGGGGUGGGGGAGGAGGAAGAGAAAGUUUUUCAGUUUGGUGUUGAGGCUAGAAGGUCACGUCAGAAGGCAGAGUGCUCUGUGCCAAAUAGUGCCUAAGCUGAGCCUUAAAACGCGGGUCUCCUCCCCACGUUCCCUCAAAAGUUCUGCACGCUUAUCCGUCGUCAUUUCCACUGGUUAUAGGCGCGCGGGACGUUUACCAUCUAUCACACUUCAGGGGGCUAUUUCAGCACCCAAGUUGGGGCUGCAAAAUGGUUUCUGUUCUCAUCCACCCCCGCGAUUUCCACCUCUUCCUCUACUCUCAGCUCACAGAAGGUCUCUUUGGGGACUGAUGCAUUCCGUGUUUCAUCACGGGCCAAAAGUGACAUAG